AUACGAAGGGGGCUAGCGUUGUUCGGAAUUACUGGGCGUAAAGAGUACGUAGGCGGAUCGUUAAGUUAGAGGUGAAAUCCCAGGGCUCAACCCUGGAACUGCCUUUAAUACUGGCGAUCUAGAGAUCGAGAGAGGUGAGUGGAAUUUCCAGUGUAGAGGUGAAAUUCGUAGAUAUUGGAAAGAACACCAGUGGAGAAGGCGGCUCACUGGCUCGAUGCUGACGCUGAGGUACGAAAGCGUGGGGAGCAAACAGGAUUAGAAACCCUAGUAGUCC
rnacentral:rRNA from 1 species